UACGUAGGGGGCAAGCGUUGUCCGGAAUCAUUGGGCGUAAAGCGCGUGUAGGCGGCUCGGUAAGUCCGCUGUGAAAGUCCAGGGCUCAACCCUGGAAUGCCGGUGGAAACUGUCGAGCUAGAGUCCGGAAGAGGCGAGUGGAAUUCCUGGUGUAGCGGUGAAAUGCGCAGAUAUCAGGAGGAACACCAAUGGCGAAGGCAGCACUCUGGGACGUGACUGACGCUGAGACGCGAAAGCGUGGGGAGCAAACAGG
rnacentral:rRNA from 1 species